rnacentral:piRNA from 1 species
AGGGAUGAAGGAGGAAUGCAGAAUUG